AAUCAACGCUGGCGGCGUGCCUCAGACAUGCAAGUCGAACGAUUAAAGCUCUCUUCGGAGAGUGCAUAGAGUGGCGCACGGGUGAGUAACACGUAAGUAAUCUACCUUCGAGUGGGGAAUAAACGUCCGGAAACGGGCGCUAAUACCGCAUAAUGCAGCGGCAUCGCAAGAUGACAGUUGUUAAAGGAGCAAUCCGCUUAAAGAGGAGCUUGCGGCAGAUUAGCUCGUUGGUGGGGUAACGGCUCACCAAGGCGACGAUCGGUAGGUGGUCUGAGAGGACGAUCACCCAGACUGGGACUGAGACACGGCCCAGACUCCUACGGGAGGCAGCAGUCGGGGAUUUUGCUCAAUGGGCGAAAGCCUGAAGCAGCAACGCCGCGUGAGGGAUGAAGGCCUUCGGUUGUAACCUCUUUCUUCAGGUACGAUGAUGACGGUACC
rnacentral:rRNA from 1 species